rnacentral:rRNA from 1 species
UACGGAGGGGGCAAGCGUUAUUCGGAAUUAUUGGGCGUAAAGGGCGCGUAGGCGGCUAGAUGUGUCAAAGGUGAAAUCCCUCGGCUCAACUGAGGAACUGCCUUUGAAACUGUCUGGCUUGAGGCCGGGAGAGGGUAGCGGAAUUCCCAGUGUAGCGGUGAAAUGCGUAGAUAUUGGGAGGAACACCAGUGGCGAAGGCGGCUACCUGGACCGGUUCUGACGCUGAGGCGCGAAAGCCAGGGGAGCAAACGGA